AUUAUUAUUAUUAUUAUUAUUAUUAUUAUUAUUAUUAUUAUUAUUAUUAAGGCAGCGAGCUGGCAGAAUCGUUAGCACCCAGGACAAAAUGCUUCGCGGCAUUUUGUCUCUCUUUAGAUUCUAAGUCCAAAUUCCGUCAACG